rnacentral:snoRNA from 1 species
AAUCCAUGAUUUGGGCACUUUCUCACCAUAGAUUUGAAUCUAUCCCAAGAUUCAGAAAGAUUUUCCCCAACAGUUUGAACAAAAGUGGAAAAUGUUGUUUUCAGAUC